CUCCAGCAGACCCUCCCUCCCAGACCCUCCUACUUCCUGGACAGUUGAAACAUGGAUGCUGUCCAGGAAGUAGGAGGGUCUGGGAGGGAGGGUCUGCUGGAG